CCAGAUGACUGCGUGGGGCUGAAAAGAUCAAUAGCGCGGCGCUGCCCAGCAGAUGCAGAGACAUGCGCCCCUUCUACCAUUGCACGCCGCGCCAAACCCGAGCACUACAUUCAAUAAAAGCAAAAGGACAAUCGCAGAGCCAAAGGGAAACUCGCGCGAUAAUUUGCAGAAACGUUCGUAGCGGCGCAGGAAAGUAAAAGUUGCGACGUGAACACUAUGCAGGUUCAAGGCUUUUGAUAAGAACACGAGGAAACAUUUUUGAGCGAGGUCUGUUCGCUGGCAAACGUUGCUUCGCUUCGUGCCAUGAUGUAAAUAAAAAGAAGGUUCGUUGGAAACUUCCUUUGUUGAGAAGCACAGAAAAAAUGAAAAAGUGCCGCCCAACAGAGAGCUUGAACAGGCAAAUAUGUGCACAAGUAUUUGCCACUGGCUUUGUGCUUGGAAUGGUCUACUGCACCUACUCAACCUAUUAUCUCAGCCAAUAUGAGAGCUUUGGCGAAAUUUUCAAAAGCAAGUGGUUCAAGAGUUACGAUCAAACUUUGAUACAGCGUUUGCUGAAAACAAAAAUGCCAGGAAAGGAUGUGAUAAUAGAGAAAUUUUUUGAGGAGCACGCCUCAAUGAUGACCAAAGUAGUGGCAGAUCAAAUGAGAAUUCUGUGCUGGGUCUGCACGUCCAACAACACUCACAAAUCGAAAGCAAUGCACGUGAAAGCGACGUGGAGCAGACGUUGCGACAAAGUCAUCUUCGUAAGCGAAACAGAAGAUGACGAAUUGCCGACUUUAAAAAUUGAGGCGCCGAACGGUAGGGAAGGAUUGUGGGUGAAAACGGUCAACGCUUUUAAAUAUGUCCAUGAAAAUUUCAUAAAUGACUACGACUGGUUUUUCAAAGCUGAUGACGACGCAUAUGUUGUUAUAGAAAAUAUGCGGAAGAUGCUUCUUCCCUACAAUCCUGAUGAACCUGCAUAUUUUGGGUACCACUUCAAGCAACUUGUCUUGAAUGGGUACAUGGCAGGCGGAGGAGGUUAUGUGUUGAGCCGACAUACUCUGAAAAGACUCGUGACUGAAGCGUUUGUUGGCAACAGAACUAAUUGUCCUUUGACGCCACCAGGCAUGCCAAUUGAGGACUUCUUCAUUGGCACUUGCUUGCAAGAUAUUGGAAUCAACCCAUCGGACUCUAGAGACUUUAAAGGACAUUUUAGAUUUUUCCCAACCAACAUUGAUAGAUAUGUGUCAACUGACCUUUCAGACCAAGAUUGGUUUUAUAGACUUCUCUACUGGCCAUAUAAAGAGAAAUCGGAUUGCUGCAGCAAAGCCCCGAUUAGUUUUCAUUACAUGACGCCAGACAGAUUUUAUAUGAUGGAGUACUUGGUGUACAAUCUGAACAUCUUCAGCGUUACGGACCUUGAGAGGGUUUGAAACUUGCGGCAAUUUUCAGAAUUAUGCUGUCAAAGACCAACACAUUUGCUUAAAUCUUUUAAUAGAAGUUGCCGACAUAUCCGGAGUUCUCGUGGAUGUCGUCGCGGCCCUCGCGGCCCCGACCGCGGCCCUCGGCGUCGAAACGCUCCCUGUGGGCGCCCGUGUACUGCGAGGCGUCCGUGAGGCGGUCGACGCCGCCGCUCUUCACGGCCUUGGUGGCCCCCUGCGUGCCGGGGGCGCCGCAGUCCACCAGCUUCUCCUUGAUCUCCUCCACGGCCAUCUUGCUGCUGAGCUCGUCCAGGUACUUGAGGAACGUGUCGAAGUUCAUGGUUUUGCCCUUGAAUUUGUUGAAGGCGAUGCCGGUGUCCGUGGUGGUGAUCUUUUUGGCGAUCACGCCCGCCUGCUUGAACCACUUGUCGGCGUUCUUCAGCGUGAUCGUCGAGCCGUCGUUCUUCGACUCGCCGAAUUUGGCGAAAAGGGCGAAUUGUUCUUUCAGCUGCGCGUCGACCAUCUAAUUUUUGUGGAAUUUAAAGGAAAGAACGUUUCAGUUUUGAAUUUUAUACCUUUUAAAAGUCCAAGAACUUUUCGAUCAGCAAGUAAAAUGAAGAGUUUCAAGAACGGAC